GCGUCAGUAGCUAAACCGGAUAAAGCACCUGCCUCUUAAGCAGGGGAUUGUAAGUUCGACUCUUACCUGACGCACCA
rnacentral:tRNA from 1 species